rnacentral:rRNA from 1 species
AUUGAACGCUGGCGGCAGGCCUAACACAUGCAAGUCGAGCGGUAGAGAGGUGCUUGCAUCUCUUGAGAGCGGCGGACGGGUGAGUAAUGCCUAGGAAUCUGCCUAGUGGUGGGGGAUAACGUUCGGAAACGGACGCUAAUACCGCAUACGUCCUACGGGAGAAAGCGGGGGGAUCUUCGGACCUCGCGCCAUUAGAUGAGCCUAGGUCGGAUUAGCUAGUUGGUGAGGUAAUGGCUCACCAAGGCGACGAUCCGUAACUGGUCUGAGAGGAUGAUCAGUCACACUGGAACUGAGACACGGUCCAGACUCCUACGGGAGGCAGCAGUGGGGAAUAUUGGACAAUGGGCGAAAGCCUGAUCCAGCCAUGCCGCGUGUGUGAAGAAGGUACUUCGGAUUGUAAAGCACUUUAAGUUGGGAGGAAGGGUAGUAACCUAAUACGUUGCUACUUUGACGUUACCGA